GAUGAAGAACGUAGCGAAAUGCGAUAAGUAAUGUGAAUUGCAGAAUUCAGUGAAUCAUCGAAUCUUUGAACGCACAUUGCGCCCGCCAGUAUUCUGGCGGGCAUGCCUGUUCGAGCGUCAUUUCAACCAUCAAGCCCCAGGCUUGUGUUGGGGACCUGCGGCUGCCGCAGGCCCUGAAAACCAGUGGCGGGCUCGCUGUCACACCGGGCGUAGUAGAUUUUAUCUCGCUCAGGGCGUGCUGCGGGUCCCGGCCGUUAAAAGCCUUUUUUUUACCCAAGGUUGACCUCGGAUCAGGUAGGAAGACCCGCUGAACUUAAGCAUAUCAAUAAGCGGAGGA
rnacentral:misc_RNA from 1 species